GGAUGUAAACUUGAAGUCGUAACUUGUGAGAAGUGUAUAUAUGCUGUCAAAAUUCUUUUGAAGUGAAUAUAUGCUGUCAAGAUUCAGUUCAAGUGCAUAUCUGCUUAAUUCGGUAUAAGUUGUCUGAAAUCAACCAUAAAGUGUAUAUCUGCUUAAUUCUUUUGAAGGGCAAUGUGGUUAACCUUGGCCGCAGCAUGCAAAACUCCCUCGUAAAGUACAAUCCGGGAAAACACGGAUAACUGAACAUACAAGGUAGUCGAUUUCGUAAGUUGAACAUCGGGAUAUAUCCGCGUGCUUGGCUUAACUGUAACCUUAUUUUUUUCACUCGUGUUUACUCGAGUACUUUACUUCGUGAUAGCCUUCGUGCUUCUUAUUAUCAUAUGGGGGAUGCUUCGCUUAUUCAUAACUUUGGAAAUUAAUAUUAAUAGGUUAACUCCACUAGAUUUAAAUUUUUAGAUCCAAUUUUCCACAUAGGUUUCAUUUUUUUUCCAUUUAUACAUUUUUUUCAAUGAUUAUUCUAAGCAUUAACAAGUACAUCGUAUUGGAGAAAAAGACCCCCUUUUAUAAGAGCCACAAAUCCAACCGUUAUGACUUGAACCAGUCAGCACGA
rnacentral:lncRNA from 1 species